UNCUGGAUUCCAGACUCACUCUCAAGGCAGU
rnacentral:piRNA from 1 species